rnacentral:rRNA from 1 species
UGGACCGCAUGACGUCGACCCGGGGGAUUCAACCAGGCCGUUGCGAUCGGGACGCGUGGGGGUUAUGCGGAGCUGUAAAGCCCGUGCCUCUGCGUGGGUCUCCGGGCGGACUGGUGCACUUUCCUCGGGUUGAUUGCCACGACCGGCUCUCCGUGCGGCCACAAGCCUGUCGCUGGGAAGGUGACCGUGGGCCCCGCGCCCGCGGUGUUACAGCCCAGCCUGUUCGUUGAGCUCGUCGGAGGGCCGAGGAAGUUGCCGUUUCUCAGCCACCCUCUGGCCAUCCUUGCUCGUCACGACUGGGGUGAACUGCUCGUCAGUGCUCUCCCGACCGCGAGCGUAGGAAGGGCUGGUACGGUGCGAGAAUUGCUUCGGGCCAGUGGCGAAUCGGUCGGUCCUCCACCCGACCCGUCUUG